UGGGCUAUAGCUCAGUGGAAAAGUACUCCCCCAACACGAUGAGGCCCUGGGUUCAAUUCCCAGCAGCACAA
rfam:Ictidomys tridecemlineatus contig039486, whole genome shotgun sequence.